CGGAGAGUUUGAUCCUGGCUCAGGACGAACGCUGGCGGCAUGCCUAAUACAUGCAAGUCGAACGAACUUUCCCGAUGAUUGAAGCUUGCUUCAUGAAUCGGAUCUAAGUGAGUGGCGGACGGGUGAGUAACACGUGGGUAACCUGCCCAAAAGUGGGGGAUAACAUUUGGAAACAAGUGCUAAUACCGCAUAACAACUACUUUCACAUGAUCGUAGUUUAAAAGAUGGUUCUGCUAUCACUAAGAGAUGGUCCCGCGGUGCAUUAGUUAGUUGGUGAGGUAAUGGCUCACCAAGACGAUGAUGCAUAGCCGAGUUGAGAGACUGAUCGGCCACAAUGGGACUGAGACACGGCCCAUACUCCUACGGGAGGCAGCAGUAGGGAAUCUUCCACAAUGGGCGAAAGCCUGAUGGAGCAACGCCGCGUGUGUGAUGAAGGGUUUCGGCUCGUAAAACACUGUUGUAAGAGAAGAAUGACAUUGAGAGUAACUGUUCAAUGUGUGACGGUAUCUUACCAGAAAGGAACGGCUAAAUACGUGCCAGCAGCCGCGGUAAUACGUAUGUUCCAAGCGUUAUCCGGAUUUAUUGGGCGUAAAGCGAGCGCAGACGGUUAUUUAAGUCUGAAGUGAAAGCCCUCAGCUCAACUGAGGAAUUGCUUUGGAAACUGGAUGACUUGAGUGCAGUAGAGGAAAGUGGAACUCCAUGUGUAGCGGUGAAAUGCGUAGAUAUAUGGAAGAACACCAGUGGCGAAGGCGGCUUUCUGGACUGUAACUGACGUUGAGGCUCGAAAGUGUGGGUAGCAAACAGGAUUAGAUACCCUGGUAGUCCACACCGUAAACGAUGAGUGCUAGGUGUUUGAGG
rnacentral:rRNA from 1 species